AUAUUGUAAUAUUAUAGUAGUCUAUGAUUUAGUAGAUCAUAGUAGUCAAUGAUAUGUAGGUCAAUAAAGAUUCAUUACCACCCUUGUCAUUCUACUGAACGGACCUGUUUGGACGUCUCUCUCUCAACAUUACAUUGGCGACGAGCGGGAGUCUUGGAAACGAAGAAGUUGAAGUUGUUUACUGAAAAAUCUAAUUUGGAACUGAAGAUCAAUUUAUUUCAAAAUUCAAAUUGGAACUUUUAGAAUCAAAUUUAUCGAACAUUCAAGUAUAAAUGGCGAGAUUGGAGUGUAACAUUUUACCGUUUAUUGAAAAUGAAGACGGACCAACCAACGUUCGAUGGGAAGCAUGGAAAGAUCAAUUUUUGGCUUAUAUGGCAUUGAAAAGAAUUAAUGCUCACGAUGAAAUGUUUAAUGCUCUACAAUGUUUUGGCGGACCUGAUGUUAGAAAAGUUAUUAAGACAUGUGGAGAAAAUGCUGUUGAAAAUUUAUUUGAAGCUGCUAUGGAAGUUUUGGACAACUAUUUUGCACCCAAAAUGUCAUUACGAUAUGAAAGACAUCGUUUUCGGCAAAUGUUGUUCAAUCCUAAAGAAAAGUUGGAUCAUUUUGUUAUUCGUUUACGUUCUCAAGCAACACUAUGUGGUUUUGAUGAUCAACUUGAAGAGAUGUUAAUGGAUCAAAUUGUAUUUGCGACGCAGAAUGAUGAUAAAUUACGGGCAAAAUAUCUUGAAUGUGACAGAACAUUAGAUGAAAUGCUGAAAGUUGGCCGUACUCAUGAGUCAGUCAGAGUUCAGGUACACGAGUUGCGUAACAAACCAGUGCAUGAUUCCAGAGAAAUUUGCGGAAUUAACAGGAAAGAUAUAAAAUGCAGUCGAUGUAAUGGAAAUCAUUUAGCUAAUAAUCCUCGUUGUCCGGCUCGUGAUAUUUCUUGUCAUUACUGUAACAUGACGGGCCAUUUUGCGAGAUGUUGUAUGUCCAGAAGAUCUGGUUUUCAAAAGAUGCAUAAAAAGGAUGAUUAUGGUAACACGAACAAAAAUUAUCAACAAAAUCAAAAGCAUCAGAUGAAGACACAACAAAAGUUUGUUCGGGAAGUGGAUGAUGUUACAGAAAAAGUUGAAAUCCGUGAAUUAUUCCAUUUGGACGGGAAACGAUCUGUUGCGCUGGAUGUAGGAGGAGUCGAAGUAAAUUUCAUUAUCGACACUGGAGCAGAUGAAGAUGUACUAAGCAUUGAUGAUUGGAAAAACUGAAACAAACUGGAUUUAAAAUGUUUGAUGUGAGGAAAGGCAGUGACAAAAUUUUUCGUGCUUACGGUAGCUACAAACCAUUGACUGUACUUGGAGAAGUUGAUGUUGAAGUGAGGCAUAAAACCAAUGCCAUCGAACCACAUUAUUUGUUAUUCAAGACGGAAAAUGUUCAUUAUUAUCUGGAAAAUCAGCAGAAGUUCUUGGAAUUGUUAAAUUUUUACAUGCUAUUACACAGACUCCAUUUCCGGCAAUAAGAGCUUAUCGGUCUACACCACAUUCCGUAACAGAUGUGGAACCAGCAAAAUUAAUGUUUGGAAGAAAUAUUCGAGAUAAAUUACCGACAAUAGAUUCUACCAAAGCAUCACCAGAUUACGAUGCAAUUAAAGACAAAGACCGAGAAAAUAAAGAAAAAGGAAAACUAAUUGGAGAUAGAAAGAGGAAAGCAAAAGAUUCUUCGAUUGAUGUCGGCGAUGAAGUCAUUGUUAAAAAUUUUAUAAAGAAGAACAAAAUGACUACCAAUUUCAAUCCACAGCCUCAUAUUGUAGUUAAAAGGACUGGAACGAGAUUAACUGUCAAGAAUAAGCGAACCGGAGUUGAAUUGGAUAGACAUGUUAAUCAUGCAAAGAAACUACUUUCAGCAAGUCCAUUUGAAAAGGAAAUAAAUGAUAGAGAUGUCAAUCCAACUGAGGAAAACGGCAGUACAACGAUUGGAGAAGAUGUCAGCACGCGUACUUCGAGAAGGAUUUCCAAGAAACCGAACUACUUACAUGAUUAUUCAUUAUAUCAGUUUGAUGAAAAUCUAAAUUAAAGUUCAUGUUAAAACAAGGAAGAGAUGUGAUAUAUUGUAAUAUUAUAGUAGUCUAUGAUUUAGUAGAUCAUAGUAGUCAAUGAUAUGUAGGUCAAUAAAGAUUCAUUACCACCCUUGUCAUUCU
rnacentral:misc_RNA from 1 species